UGCACCCAAUAAAGGGAAAUUCUAACAAUCCCAACUUAUGCACCCAAUGAACAUGAUAUCCCAGUGCACUCAACAAAAUUCUAAAAAUCCCAACUUUACAGAGAACUGAGAAAAUUCAAAGAUGAAGAAAAGGCAGCCAGCCAUGGCGGCAUCACAAAGCAAAACCGGUUGGUGGAAACACUCUGUUCAGCUACUCUGUCUCUAUAUUUGGCUCCAUAUCUACCCUUAGAGAUGAAUUGCAGGAGCUCUCAGCAAUUCUCAUGUGGAAAAGGAGUGGACUUGCCUCCCAAAGUGUGGCCCUUGCUGGUUUCCUUCAACGUAAAAUCAAGAAUUUCAAAAUCUCCAGCUUUAUCAUGGAUGGCCAUACAUUCUUUGAUUCUUUUCAGGUGGGAUGAAAUCAGAUAAUUAAAGAAGAAGAAAAAAAAAGGCAGAGGAUCGGUCCUGAAAGGUUUCUUUCUUUUUCUCUGUAAAUUCCUCCGUUUUUCUCAGUAACCAAACAGAGGUAUUAGUCUUCAAUAUCUCAAAGAAAAGAACUUGCUUAUGAGCUAUGAAAAUUGAGCGAUUAACAACUUGGUUACGGGUUUGCAGGGAUGAGGUUGCACAAUAACUAUGAUGAGCCCAUGAAGGGUCAUUCAGAAUUAGCAGAGUGGAUAUUUUUAGUCAUUAGCCUUGGCCUGGAGACGUUGUCAGCUGCUUUUGAUCAGGCUUCGUCCCCAACAAAACCCCACUAUGCACUAUUUGGUGUGCUGUUGGCUAUUGCAGCUGUACUUAUUUCCAUCUGGGAGCUAAUUUAUAAUGGUAGAUAGAAAAGAGUUGCGCUGAGGAGAUGGGGAUGGCUCUGGUGGUUUUAUUAUCCACCUCCUGGUAACGCACUUUUCGGUACUCUUCCUGACAUUUAUGGACUAGUUGGCGGCAUCUCGCAGUGCAUUUGCUCUAUAGUUCAGUACAUGUUCUACCUUCGGCAUGCCGAUGAUCCUAUCAAAGCAUCCAUUUUGCCUGCCAUAUUUCUUCUCUGUUUAGGUGGUUCAAAACUAAAUAGGAAUCAGAGGAACACGAACACCAUCGAACAUAACAUGUUCAGGAAAAGGCAACUCUUGCAUAGUGAGUCUAUUUAAAUAUUUGGUGAGCAAAUCCAACCAGGAAACUGGAUUUAGACAGGGGAAGCAAGGGCCGGCCCUGAGGCAAAGGCAAGGAGGGC